GGCCGCCUGGCGUAAUGGCAACGCGUCUGACUACGAAUGGAUAAUCAGGAGAUUGCAGGUUCGACCCCUGCGGUGGUCA
rnacentral:tRNA from 1 species